rnacentral:rRNA from 1 species
UAGUGGCGGACGGGUGAGUAACGCGUGGGUAACCUGCCCAUAAGUGGGGAAUAACAGUUGGAAACGACUGCUAAUACCGCAUAAGCUGAGCAAUCAGUAAAGGAGGCUAACGCUUCCGCUUAUGGAUGGGCCCGCGUCUGAUUAGCUAGUUGGUGGGGUAAUGGCCUACCAAGGCAACGAUCAGUAGCCGGCCUGAGAGGGUGGACGGCCACACUGGGACUGAGACACGGCCCAGACUCCUACGGGAGGCAGCAGUGGGGAAUAUUGCGCAAUGGGGGAAACCCUGACGCAGCGACGCCGCGUGAGCGAAGAAGGCCUUAGGGUCGUAAAGCUCUGUUUUAAGGGACGAAUAUCCUUAGUAGUAACUGACUAAGGAAUGACGGUACCUUAAGAGAAAGCCCCGGCUAACUACGUGCCAGCAGCCGCGGUAAGACGUAGGGGGCGAGCGUUGUCCGGAAUUACUGGGCGUAAAGAGCACGUAGGCGGGAUUUUAAGUCAGGUGUGAAAGACCGUGGCUCAACCACGGGGUUGCACAUGAAACUGGAAUUCUUGAGGGCAGGAGAGGAAAGUGGAAUUCCUGGUGUAGCGGUGAAAUGCGUAGAAAUCAGGAGGAACACCGGUGGCGAAGGCGACUUUCUGGACUGACCCUGACGCUGAGGUGCGAAAGCGUGGGUAGCAAACAGAGAGUAGAUACCCUGGUAGUCCACGCUGUAAACGAGCCUAAAAGGGUGGGAGGUAUUGGCCCCCUUCCCGUGCCGCAGCAAACGCAAUAAGUAUCCCGCCUGGGGAGUACGGUCGCAAAGGCUGAAAUUCAAAGGAAUUGACGGGGGCCCGCACAAGCGGGGAAGCAGGUGGUUUAAUUUGAUGCAACGCGAAGAACCUUACCAGGUCUUGACAUCCAAAGAAUCCUGAUGAAAGUCGGGAGUGCCUUAGGGAGCUUUGAGACAGGUGGUGCAUGGUUGUCGUCAGCUCGUGUCGUGAGAUGUUGGGUUAAGUCCCGCAACGAGCGCAACCCUUAUUGUUAGUUGCCAUCAUUAAGUUGGGCACUCUAGCGAGACUGCCCGGGUUAACCGGGAGGAAGGUGGGGAUGACGUCAAAUCAUCAUGCCCCUUAUGUCUAGGGCUACACACGUGCUACAAUGGUCGGUACAAUAAGACGCAAGCCCGCGAGGGGGAGCAAAACUGGAAAACCGAUCUCAGUUCGGAUUGUAGGCUGAAACUCGCCUACAUGAAGCUGGAGUUGCUAGUAAUCGCGAAUCAGCAUGUCGCGGUGAAUACGUUCCCGGGCCUUGUACACACCGCCCGUCA